GUGAGGGGGCUGGCAUGGCGAGGAGGCGCCAGGGAAGCCAUAGUGUGAGGAUGGGCUGCACACUCACCUCUCUGUGCCUUCCAG
ensembl:miRNA